UUCUGCACUUUCGUAACAGCCUUUUUGGAGCCCUUCUUGGGAGCAGGAGCGGAUUUCGCUGGAUCCGGCAUUUUUGCGCGAAAAAAGAGAACAGAGACUUAAAGAAGUAAUCCGAACUACCGCAAAACGGGCUGGUUAUGCGCUACUUAUAGAGCCUGUAUGCAAAUGAAGACUCGCAAAGUGCUGCGCUUUAAUUGGUUAACUUACAACGGUGUCGUCAGAGGGGGUGGAGUCUAUGUAAAUAAUAGAUUCUAGUCUUGCUUCCUUAAUGGUCACUGUAACAAAAGUCUUGUUAUCCAAUCAGAAUGGUCCAUUUCACACUAACCAGUUUUAAGCUAGGUGAAGCGAUAGUUUCAACGGCUUGAGGUUUUUUUCUUGGUUUUCACUUUCCAUUAGACUUGCAUACGGAAGAAAUCUUAACGCCAGCUAGACAAGUUAACUCUCUUGCCUCGUUUUUGCAUUUUUAUUCUAUACUUUGUGGAAAUUUUUUUCUCUUCCUUGAAAUACUACCUCACCCACACAUUUUUAAAAAUCGCCAGAUAUUUACUCCCGCCCGCUUAAAUUACUAUUCUGGCUUGGACACCGCCUGUAGUAUGCAAUGAGGAAGAUGCUGAGCUUUAAUUAAGCUUAUAGUUCCUAAAUAAACCAGGAAACGAGUUUAUAAUUUUUAAGGGACUCGCCCCACCCUUACACUCAGGAUCUUCCACAUCUAGAAACUCCCCAUAGUCUCUUGCCCCCAUGCAAAACUUUACCCACAGAAUUGGGAGCCGGACCUCUAGCCUUAAACCAGCGUGAAAAGGCUCGGCCGGAACCACAAGGACCAUGCCUCUGCGGCUUUCUCUACUGCCGGCCAACUCACGGCUGGGCUUUGGGUUCUGUAACGUCACCCACCACGAGUGCCCCUGGCCCCUGACCGCUGCGCAAGGCAGACGCACAUCAGAUGGAGAGCCGGUACAGCUGCUCUUGAUGAAAACGGCAGUGGCUCUGAAAAGAGCCUUUAGAUCGACCACUUAAAAAUAUACCUUAGGCCCGCUCCCCGCGGAUGCGGCUGACCAACUGGAUGUCCUUGGGCAUGAUGGUCACGCGCUUGGCAUGGAUGGCGCACAGUAAAUGCAGGCCACAGUCUGCCAGCUGCCCAACCAUUCAGGCUUUUCAUUAUUAUAGGAAGCAUCUGGCCAAGGACCACCAACAUCUUCCUGUCCUGCCCCUGAAGCUGUGAGUUCCCCAAGUGGAGACACAGCCUGUUCCCCAACACCUACACUCAUGAACACGGGAGGGUUGGUCAAAAUUGCACCGCUAUCAUGCUUAGUUUUAUACUCAGGUGUAAGUGACUGAUAGAAGGGCCUUUUGGAGGUGGAGAGUGCGCAGGUUCUGAAGAGGCAAGACUGGGGAAGUCUGGACCUGCUUCCAGAGUGUCCUCCCACAAGGCUUAGUGCUCAGGACCUGUAGUGGGUUGAAUAUGUUCCCUAAAGUUCGUGUCUAUCCAGCAUCUCAAAAUGUGAACGCAUUUGGAAACUGGGGCUUUGAAGACGUAAGUAGUUAAGGAUCUUGAGAUGAAAUCAUGCUGGAUAUAGGAUGGGCCUUAAAUUCAAUGACUGGUAUCUUUAUAAGAGAAAGGAGAGGGAAAUUCGGACACACAGAGAUGAGUAAGAAGCCAUGUGAAGAUGGAGGGAGAGAUUGGAAUGAGGCUGCCACAAGCCAAGGAACAUCAGAAGCCACCAGAAGCUGAAAGAAGCAAGGAAGGAUUCUCCCUGAGAGCCUUUAGAGGGAGCAUGGUACUUUAUUUCAGACUUCUGGUCUCCAGAACUGUGGAAGAAUACAGUUCUGUUGUUUUAAGCUACCAAGUUUGUGGUCAUUUGCUAUGGCAGCCCUAGGAAACUAACACAGGUUGAGUAUCCCUUAUCUGAAAUGCUUGGGACUGGGACUGUUUCGGGUUUCAGAUUUUGGAAUAUUUGCAUAUAUAUAAUGAGAUAUAUUGGGGAUGGGACCCAAGACUAAACACAAAAUCCAUCUAUGUUUCAUAAAUACCUUAUACACACUUACACUGUGCCCCAUUUUCUCCAACAACUUGACUUUCUGUACUAUAGAUAAACAUAAAUGUUUUCUCUCCCUUUUUUUUUUUUUUUUUUCUUUUGAGACAGAGUCUUGCUCUGUCGCCCAGGCUGGAGUGCAAUGGCACAAUCUCGGGUCACUGCAACCUCCUGGAUUCAAGUGAGUCUUCUGCCUCAGCCUCCCGAGUAGCUGGGACUACAGGCAUGUGCCACCACGCCUGGCUAAUUUUUGUAUUUUUAGUAGAGACGGGGUUUCACCAUGUUGGUUAGGCUGGUCUUGAACUCCUGACCUCAAGUGAUCCAGCCGCCUCGGCCUCCCAAAUUGCCGGGAUUUCAGGCAUGAGCCACCGCGCCUGGCCUUGCUUUUUCUCUUUUAAAAUCACUGUUACUCAUGGGGUAUCUGCAGGCCUUUUUGAUAUUUUCUUUUUUUUUUUUUUUUUUGAGACGGAGUCUCGCUCUGUCACCCAGGCUGGAGUGCAGUGGCGCAAUCUCGGCUCACUGCAAGCUCCGCCUCCCGGGUUCACGCCAUUCUCCUGCCUCAGCCUCCCAAGUAGCUGGGACUACAGGCGCCCGCCACUACGCCCGGCUAAUUUUUUGUAUUUUUAGUAGAGACGGGGUUUCACCGUUUUAGCCGGGAUGGUCUCGAUCUCCUGACCUCGUGAUCCGCCCGCCUCGGCCUCCCAAAGUGCUGGGAUUACAGGCGUGAGCCACCGCGCCCGGCCAACCUUUUUGAUAUUUUCAACAAUAUCUUUAUACCACAGAGCAGAGAAUAAGCAAAAAAACCCCACAGUGAGUAAGGCACGUAGGUCUUGGCUCCUACAUGGGGCAUUAUGGGGAACGUGCUGUUGACGACACUGGCCUGCACACAUGCCAUUUUAUGACCCUUUGUGGGUGUGUGCACGUUGGGGAAACCGGGCAUGUGCAGAAAAGAUAUAUCUCAGCGGAAAGGGGCUGGGAGGGCCUUUUAUUUCCUUGGGGGAAAUACUGUGCAUUGUAUGACCCGUUGUGUGAGGUCAGGUGUGGAAUUUUCCACCGAGGCACCACAUUAGUGCUCAAAAUUGUUCAGAUUUUGGAGCCUAGGGUUUCGGAUCUUCAGAUUAGGGGUGCUCAACCUGUACAACAUCCUUGCAACAAUCUAGGUGUGAGCUUUCCUCAAGAGCAAGAAGAGCUUGCCACUUCUGCUAUAUGACCACGGUGAAGCCAGCCUGUCACCCUCCUGCCCUGGAUGACCCCAGGGAGCUCUACAGAGGUCCAUGGCUGGGGGAGGCCAGCAAUUGUCUAGGAGAGCUCAGUGCCACUUGCAAAGACGACAGAUCUCUCUACAAAUUCUGGGCUGAGCAGGUGAAGGAGGCUGGUCAGGCCCAUGAAGGAGCCUAGUCAGCCGUAAGGAAAGGUUCACUGUGGGGCCCCCGACUUCCCAUUCCUGAUCUCCUUUGUACCUCUGCUGCCCACUUCCUUUCCUCUUUCCCUCCAAGUAUACCUUAUACUCUGCUCCUGAUGACACUCAGAUCUCCCCCCGCCCCCCCGC
rnacentral:lncRNA from 10 species